GGGUGAGGUAAGGUAAGGUAGGGAACGAGCGAGGUGAGGCGGGUUCCUAAAAUAAAUGUCAAGAUGUAUAUAAAGACGCCGUUAAGAUGUAUUGGUAAAUAAGGCAGCAACCAUCUAAUUAACCUCUGGAAAAUGUUAAAACCUUUGGCUUGCCUGAAGAUUCCUCCCCCAGCUUAUUUCAGCUGAAGAUCAAUUUAACCUGAGCCAAUCUCCGUAUUACAAUGUGCUGGUGAAUCUGUCAUUCUUUUUUCAGAUCAAGGAAUGACUACAGCUCCAACUGCAGUACAAAACCAUGUUAUUGGUGUGGUGGAGUAUGAGGUUAGUGUGGUGCAGUAUGAGGUGCAGUGGUGCAGUAUGUGGGGACAACAGACCACGAGUGUGAAGUGAAUCUUCUCACACUACACAACAGUAUUCCUCGAGGUGGCAGCUGAUGUACGUGAAGGCCAAUGGAGAAGUGACAGAACCUUGAGCAAGAUUUAACACCCAUCAUGUUACUUCAGCCUCAUCAGUGACAGAUGAUGUACUUGAAGGCCAACAUAGAGGAAGUGACAGAACCAAUCUAGAGCAAGAGAUAACACACACCUGUUAAUUCAGCCUCCCCAGUUAAGUUACCUUUGUCUUCGUAUGGCUACCCUAAAAACCACUGAAUGUAGGAAUGAAAUUGAGUGACUUGCUUUGUGAGAAGGGUUGGGAAGCAGGAACGCUGGGCAGUGGAGGGAGACGCUCGUACGCUGGGCAGUGGAGGGGGCGCUCGUACGCUGGGCAGUGGAGGGGGCGCUCGUACGCUGGGCAGUGGAGGGGGCGCUCG